rnacentral:rRNA from 1 species
ACAAGCGGUGGAUGAUGUGGAUUAAUUCGAUGCAAACGCGAAAAACCUUACCUACCCUUGACAUGUCCGGAAUCCUGCAGAGAUGCGGGAGUGCCCGAAAGGGAAUCGGAACACAGGUGCUGCAUGGCUGUCGUCAGCUCGUGUCGUGAGAUGUUGGGUUAAGUCCCGCAACGAGCGCAACCCUUAUCAUUAGUUGCUACGCAAGGGCACUCUAAUGAGACUGCCGGUGACAAACCGGAGGAAGGUGGGGAUGACGUCAAGUCCUCAUGGCCCUUAUGGGUAGGGCUUCACACGUCAUACAAUGGUCGGUACAGAGGGUUGCCAAGCCGCGAGGUGGAGCCAAUCCCAGAAAGCCGAUCGUAGUCCGGAUUGUUCUCUGCAACUCGAGAGCAUGAAGUCGGAAUCGCUAGUAAUCGCGGAUCAGCAUGUCGCGGUGAAUACGUUCCCGGGUCUU